rnacentral:rRNA from 1 species
CAGUCGCCACGGGAAUACGUAGGUGGCAAGCGUUAUCCGGAAUUAUUGGGCGUAAAGCGCGCGUAGGCGGUUUUUUAAGUCUGAUGUGAAAGCCCACGGCUCAACCGUGGAGGGUCAUUGGAAACUGGAAAACUUGAGUGCAGAAGAGGAAAGUGGAAUUCCAUGUGUAGCGGUGAAAUGCGCAGAGAUAUGGAGGAACACCAGUGGCGAAGGCGACUUUCUGGUCUGUAACUGACGCUGAUGUGCGAAAGCGUGGGGAUCAAACAGGAUUAGAUACCCGCGUAGUCCCUGUCUCUUAUAC